UACGUAGGGGGCUAGCGUUGUCCGGAAUCAUUGGGCGUAAAGAGCGUGUAGGCGGUCCGGUAAGUCCGUUGUGAAAGUCAAGGGCUCAACCCUUGAAUGCCGGCGGAUACUGUCGGGCUAGAGUCCGGAAGAGGCAAGUGGAAUUCCCGGUGUAGCGGUGAAAUGCGCAGAUAUCGGGAGGAACACCUAUGGCGAAGGCAGCUUGCUGGGACGGUACUGACGCUGAGGCGCGAAAGCUAGGGAGCAAACGGG
rnacentral:rRNA from 1 species